GGGGAAACCCUGACGCAGCGACGCCGCGUGUAGGAAGAAGGCCUUCGGGUCGUAAACUACUGUCAAGAGGGAAGAAACUGUUAGGGUWUAAUACGCCCUUUCACUGACGGUACCUCUAGAGGAAGCCCCGGCUAACUCCGUGCCAGCAGCCGCGGUAAUACGGAGGGUGCAAGCGUUUUUCGGAAUCACUGGGCGUAAAGCGUGCGUGGGCGGCGCAUCAAGUCAGACGUGAAAGCCCUCGGCUCAACCGAGGAAUUGCGUUUGAAACUGGUGUGCUAGAGUCUCGGAGAGGUUGGCGGAAUUCCAGGUGUAGGAGUGAAAUCCGUAGAUAUCUGGAGGAACACCGGUGGCGAAGGCGGCCAACUGGACGAGUACUGACGCUGAGGUACGAAAGCGUGGGGAGCAAACAGGAUUAGAUACCCUGGUAGUCCACGCUGUAAACGAUGGAUAUUAGGUGUCGGCGGUUWACCUUCGGUGCCGCA
rnacentral:rRNA from 1 species